rfam:Sus scrofa chromosome 15.
UUCCUGGUGGCUUAGCAGUUAAGUGUUCAGCAUUGUCACUGCUGUGGCUUAGGUUUGAUCCCUGGCCUGGGAA